AUCCCGAAUCGGCAGGGAGCAGUCCACACUCUAACCUGAUAGCUUCAAGGAGCUGAGGUGAUAUGACCUCCUUUUCGCCCUCGUCUGUGCUACUUUCCCUUGAGCUUUUCUGGGCCACUUCUGCGCCCCAGCCUCUGUACAAGAUCACUUUGUUGGUUUCUCGUGACACUAGCACCGAUCCUGUCGCCUCCUGUUUUCCAUUGGAUGUCAACGAAGCUCAGAUGCAACAAACAGUGCGUCUAGGACAGAAUGUCGAAGACAUUGGCUCAGUUUAGAUCAAUAUAUGCUAUACGUGCCAGUGCUAAUGUGCCACAUGACUAAAGGAGCCUUGUAUGUGCAAUUGGUUUGAUUAUAAAACAGUGCACGGCCAGUUGUGGUUGGACAAUGUCAGCGUGGCUGGAGAUGUCGAGGAAGACAUUCAGACUGGAGAGAGUGAAGACAGUCAGACCAAAGGCGAGGACCUGUGUGCCGGACAAGCUACAGAAGUAACUGGGUCGCAGAGGGACAAAAGGCUUCGGAGGCGUAAUAUGAAGGUGUUUGGGCUGGCUUGGGUGAAUUGAGCCCGGCGUCGUAUGGGGAAUAAAAGAUGGUUGUGUGUGUGCGUGAGGAUAAGCUGUAACAGAACUAUAAUUUCUUCUUGCUCUCCAAGUAUCCGAACUAGCUACUUCCUCUCUUCAUGUCUCCUUCUUCUUUGUGAUUUCCAGUACUAGACGAUUGUAAGGAAGUCAACAAGUGGUAUCAGAUUCGGUGGUCUUCAGCU